ACAGGUGCAGGAAGGGGAUUGCUGUGUAUUGAACACUUCCCAUUUACUAGAUAUUUUGUGUAUAUUAUUUUAUUUAAUCCUCACCAAAAAAUGUAGUUUCAGGGAACAUAAAGUGAGGGGAAGCUAAGGGAAUUGAAGUUGACAUUGGCAGUCAGUGGCGGCCGUGCUGUGAAAGGUCUUGAAUUUGGCUGAGUGAAAGCACAAAUGAAGUAUUAGUUUGCUCCAGCUGCUGUAACAAAGAACCAGGAAGUAGGUGACUUAAACAACAGAACGUAUUAUUGCCUCACAGUUCUGGAGGCUAGAAGUGCAAGAUCAAGGUGUCAGCAGGGGCUGGUUCCUUCUCAGGGCAGUGAGAAUCUGUUCCAUGCCUCUCUCCUAGCAUGUGGUGGUUCAUGAGAUGCAUAACCCUGGCUUCUGCCUGUAUCUUCUCAUAUCAUUUUCCCCGUGUGUGUGUGUGUGUGUGUCUCUGGGUCCAAAUUUCCCCCUUUUAUAAGGACACAGUCAUGCUGGAUUAGGGACCCACUAUUCUCGAGUAUGACCUCUUCUAAAUGUAACUGAUUACAUCUGCUCUGACCCUAUUUCCAAAUGAGGUCACAUUCUGAGAUACUGAGGGUUAAGGCUUCAACAUCUGAAUUCUUUUUUAAUUUUUCUAAAUGUUUUUAUUUAUUUUUGAAGGAGAGAGAGAGAGAGAGAGAGACAGCAUGAGCAGGGGAGGAGCAGAGAGAGAGAGACACAGAAUCCGAAGCAGGCUCCAGGCUCCGAGCUGUCAGCACAGAGCCCGAUGCGGGGCUCGAACCCACGAACUGUGAGAUCAUGACCUGAGCCGAAGCUGGACGCUCAGCCGACUGAGCCACCCAGUGCCCCUUCAACAUCUGAAUUUUGGAGGAGGGCACAAUUUCACCUGUGACUAUAGAUAAGUGGAAUCUUGAGAAAAGUCAGGUUAAGUAAGACUAAACAGAUUUUUUUUUCUUUAAGGCCUCUGUGGAGGUUUUACAACUUAGCUGCAAAAUUUCUCACACCCUUCCUGUUGAGAGGUGGGGACUUUGUCCCUUCCCCUGGAAUCUGAGAGCUACAGAGUAUGGUGGAAGUGACUUUGUGUGACAUCCUAGGCUACAUCAUAAAAGAACAUAUACCACUUCAACCUUGUUUCCUGGAACAUGGAACCACCCUGUUCUGAGAGGCACAGGUAUACUCCCUGGCCAGUAUUCCCAGCUGAGCCCACCCUUCUGGGUGUCCUGCCAAAGUGCCAGACAGCUUCCAUGUUGAGUUAUUCCAUGGAGAGGCCCAAGGAAUGAAGAGUGUGGCCUCUGGCCAACAGCCUCCAACAACUAUGUGAGUGAGCUUGAAAGUGGAUCCUUCUAUAGUCUAGUCUUCAGAUGAGAUCACAGCCCAACUGAUACCUUGACUGCAAUCUGAGCACAGCAGAAGUGACGCCAUGCCUUUCCCAUGCCUGGGCUCAAGAGACCCUGCACAAUAAUGUUGGCCAUUCUCUUAGGACCCGCUCCAUGUACAAACCCGUGGGUAGGAUGAGAGGUCGUGUGGAGAAAUACUGAGUCAGCACAGUUGCCCCAGGCAAGCGAGGCAGCCCAACCAAGAACAGCAAAAUGCCACCUACCUGACCACGGGGACAUAUAUGAACUCAGCCAUACUCAGCUCAGAUGACUGGAAGUGCCCAGCUGACCCACUGACAUGUGAUUAAAAAUUGUCAUGAUAUGCCACUGAGGUUUCGUGGCUGUUUGUUAUGUGGCAUUACGGUGGUGGCAUUAUAGCUGAUACAGUUGUACUGGGUUGGCUAAUGAGGGUGUCGUGUUGGGGAAGGAUCCCCUCAAGUACUAGGUGACAAAGCUGACUGCCAGCUGGCCUUGUCAUCCUCUCUCCCAGAGGAAGAGUGUUUUCUUUCCCUAGACAUACGCAGCUCCGGCCCGGAAAGAUUCCUCCUGGGCUUGUCAAAACUUUCCAGAACACGGUACUGCAAACAGGCCUUCCUUUGGCAGCUUGUUAGGAUAAUUGAAAUGUGGGUGGAAGCUCAUUAAGCUUCCCCUUCGUCAACAUUCUUCCUUCCAGGCCCAGGGAAGCUGCGAGUUCUGUCACAUCCCAUUAGCACCGUGUCUGGGUGGUUUCCACACCUUUCCAGGCAAAUCAAACACACGGGGUCCACAUUCAAGGGAAAAUACAUUUAUUGCCACAGAGAGGGGUAUGUUUAUGGAGAUUUAAAAAUACAUCUGGCUUGGAUGGAUCAUGAGAAAGAGAGUGAAAAUACCUAAAAAAUGCUUGGGAGGCACAAGGAUUGCAGGUUGCUCUUGUACAUAUUAAAAACCUGACGUCUGAAGUCUCUUCUGGACAUCCCUAAGUCCCCUUCUAGCCUCAUCUCCUGUUGGGCCCCUACAAAACCCUAUUUUAUUAAAAAGGAUUUCAGAGGCAAAGAUAUGUGUGUUUACAUCCUGACUGGGCCAUGGUAGUAAUAGUAACGAUGAUGUUAACUUUAAUUGAGCAAGUUUUAUUUGCCAGGCUCUGUGCUAAAAGUUUUAUACAAAUAAUUUCAUUUAAUCCAGGACAGGAAGCUCCCUGAGGUCAGAGGCGAUGCCCAGUUUGUUCUCCUGAGUAUCAAGCAUGUAACAUGAUUCUUGAUAUUAGAUGUUCAAUAAUGUUGAGCAAACAAAUGAAUGAAUGACAGUGCUGUGGGGUAGAGGUAAUUACUCCCAUCUCUAAAAGAUAAAGAGGCUGAAGGAUCCAUAACUGACCCAAGCUCUCAUAUCUAGUAAGUGGUGGAGGGACCUUAGGCAGGAAGGCUCCUUUCUUCUUUGUUUUGAAUGUUUAUUCAUUUUUAAGAGAGAAAGCAUGA